rnacentral:rRNA from 1 species
AUGUUGGAGGAAAAGAAGAGAAAAGAAAUGGAUAUCAUAAGGAAAACCCUGGAAAAGGAGGUCAAAAGACAACAUGAACUAUUGCAAAUAAAUAUGAAAGCAAGUGAAGAGGUGAGGGGGUCACAGUCAGGGGAAAAAACCAUUGAAAGUGAAGAUGAAAAAGAGGACACUGAGGGGGAAGCAGCAGCAGAAGACAAACAUGAAGAGGGGGAGGAAAUGACACACUUGGAGUUGAUUGAACAGGCUGUGGGGCUGGGCUAUAUGGAGCCUGUGGACUAUACUGCUAGUCAGGAGACUGACUCCUUUGAAACAAAAAUCAAGAAGGCUGGGAAAGGGGAUCUGGAAUCCCAAGAGGAAGAAGAACUGAGGAGAUGCUCUAGACUGAAAGGCAAGGAAGACAAAAAGAUCACUGAACUGGCUAAAGAGAGAGUGGCUCAGAAGAACAACUAUGAUAAACCUUGUAAGAAGUAA